UACAGAGGUCUCAAGCGUUUGUUCGGAUUCAUUGGGCGUAAAGGGUGCGUAGGUGGCGCCGUAAGUCAGGUGUGAAAUUUCGGAGCUUAACUCCGAAACUGCAUUUGAUACUGCGGUGCUUGAGGACUGGAGAGGAGACUGGAAUUUACGGUGUAGCAGUGAAAUGCGUAGAGAUCGUAAGGAAGACCAGUGGCGAAGGCGGGUCUCUGGACAGUUCCUGACACUGAGGCACGAAGGCCCAGGGGAGCAAACGGG
rnacentral:rRNA from 1 species